UACGUAGGGUGCGAGCGUUAAUCGGAAUUACUGGGCGUAAAGCGUGCGCAGGCGGGCUUUUAAGCCAGACGUGAAAUCCCCGGGCUUAACCUGGGAAUGGCGCUUGGGACUGGAAGUCUGGAGUGCGGCAGAGGAGACUGGAAUUCCUGGUGUAGCAGUGAAAUGCGUAGAUAUCAGGAGGAACACCGAUGGCGAAGGCAGGUCUCUGGGCUGACACUGACGCUCAUGCACGAAAGCGUGGGGAGCAAACAGG
rnacentral:rRNA from 1 species